rnacentral:rRNA from 1 species
AGUGAACGCUGGCGGCAGGCCUAACACAUGCAAGUCGAACGAACCGCAAGGUUAGUGGCGGGCGGGUGAGUAACACGUGGGAAUCUACCUUUAGAUGGGGGAUAACUCAGGGAAACUUGAGCUAAUACCGCAUAAUGUCGAGAGACCAAAGAUUUAUCGUCUAAAGAUGAGCCCGCGUUAGAUUAGUUUGUUGGUGGGGUAAUGGCCUACCAAGACUACGAUCUAUAGCUGGUUUGAGAAGAUGACCAGCCACAUUGGGACUGAGACACGGCCCAAACUCCUACGGGAGGCAGCAGUGGGGAAUAUUGGGCAAUGGGCGAAAGCCUGACCCAGCCAUGCCGCGUGAGUGAUGAAGGCCUUAGGGUUGUAAAGCUCUUUCAGGGGGGAAGAUAAUGACGGUACCCCCAGAGGAAGCUCCGGCUAACUUCGUGCCAGCAGCCGCCGUAA